UGCUUGGGAACUUGCCUUUGCGAGGGGGAUAACAGUUGGAAACGACUGCUAAUACCGCAUAAUGUCUUCGGACCAAACGGGGCUUCGGCUCCGGCGCAAAGAGAGGCCCAAGUGAGAUUAGCUAGUUGGUAAGGUAACGGCUUACCAAGGCGACGAUCUCUAGCUGUUCUGAGAGGAAGAUCAGCCACACUGGGACUGAGACACGGCCCAGACUCCUACGGGAGGCAGCAGUGGGGAAUAUUGCACAAUGGGGGAAACCCUGAUGCAGCCAUGCCGCGUGUGUGAAGAAGGCCUUCGGGUUGUAAAGCACUUUCAGUUGUGAGGAAAAGUUAGUAGUUAAUACCUGCUAGCCGUGACGUUAACAACAGAAGAAGCACCGGCUAACUCCGUGCCAGCAGCCGCGGUAAUACGGAGGGUGCGAGCGUUAAUCGGAAUUACUGGGCGUAAAGCGCACGCAGGCGGUUUGUUAAGCUAGAUGUGAAAGCCCCGGGCUCAACCUGGGAUGGUCAUUUAGAACUGGCAGACUAGAGUCUUGGAGAGGGGAGUGGAAUUCCAGGUGUAGCGGUGAAAUGCGUAGAUAUCUGGAGGAACAUCAGUGGCGAAGGCGACUCCCUGGCCAAAGACUGACGCUCAUGUGCGAAAGUGUGGGUAGCGAACAGGAUUAGAUACCCUGGUAGUCCACACCGUAAACGCUGUCUACUAGCUGUGUGUGUCUUUAAGGCGUGCGUAGCGAAGCUAACGCGCUAAGUAGACCGCCUGGGGGAGUACGGCCGCAAGGUUAAAACUCAAAUGAAUUUGACGGGGGGCCCGCACAAGCGGUGGAGCAUGGUGGGUUUAAUUCGAUGC
rnacentral:rRNA from 1 species